GGAAACUUGAACUGAACUGCCUGGAAAAAUCAUUCUAUUUCUCUCAAACAGUUGGGUGCACUCAACCUUCUGCAAGAGAGAGAGAGACAGAGAGCUAGAACAGGUUCUAACUCAACUGCCUAGAAGAAUCAUUCUAUUUCUCUCAGACAAUUGAGUGCACCUAAGUGUCUGAAAGAGAGAGAGAGAGAGAGAGAGAAUAGAGUCUAACUCAAUUGCCUGGAAGAAUCAUUCUAUUUCCGUCAGACAAAUAAGUUCACUUAAGCAUCUGAAAGAAAGAGAGAGAGAGAGAGAGAGGAAGCUUGAACUGAACUGCCUGGAAAAAUCAUUCUAUUUCUCUCAAACAGUUGGGUGCACUCAACCUUCUGCAAGAGAGAGAGAGACAGAGAGCUAGAACAGGUUCUAACUCAACUGCCUAGAAGAAUCAUUCUAUUUCUCUCAGACAAUUGAGUGCACCUAAGUGUCUGAAAGAGAGAGAGAGAGAGAGAGAGAAUAGAGUCUAACUCAAUUGCCUGGAAGAAUCAUUCUAUUUCCGUCAGACAAAUAAGUUCACUUAAGCAUCUGAAAGAAAGAGAGAGAGAGAGAGAGAGGAAGCUUGAACUGAACUGCCUGGAAAAAUCAUUCUAUUUCUCUCAAACAGUUGGGUGCACUCAACCUUCUGCAAGAGAGAGAGACAGAGAGCUAGAACAGGUUCUAACUCAACUGCCUAGAAGAAUCAUUCUAUUUCUCUCAGACAAUUGAGUGCACCUAAGUGUCUGAAAGAGAGAGAGAGAGACAGAGAGAGAGAAUAGAGUCUAACUCAAUUGCCUGGAAGAAUCAUUCUAUUUCCGUCAGACAAAUAAGUUCACUUAAGCAUCUGAAAGAAAGAGAGAGAGAGAGAGAGAGGAAGCUUGAACUGAACUGCCUGGAAAAAUCAUUCUAUUUCUCUCAAACAGUUGGGUGCACUCAACCUUCUGCAAGAGAGAGAGAGACAGAGAGCUAGAACAGGUUCUAACUCAACUGCCUAGAAGAAUCAUUCUAUUUCUCUCAGACAAUUGAGUGCACCUAAGUGUCUGAAAGAGAGAGAGAGAGAGAGAGAGAAUAGAGUCUAACUCAAUUGCCUGGAAGAAUCAUUCUAUUUCCGUCAAACAAAUAAGUUCACUUAAGCAUCUGAAAGAAAGAGAGAGAGAGAGAGAGGAAGCUUGAACUGAACUGCCUGGAAAAAUCAUUCUAUUUCUCUCAAACAGUUGGGUGCACUCAACCUUCUGCAAGAGAGAGAGACAGAGAGCUAGAACAGGUUCUAACUCAACUGCCUAGAAGAAUCACUCUACUUUUCUCAAACAAUUAAGUGCACUUAAGCAUCUAAAAGAAAGAGAGAGAGAAUUGACUCUAACUCAACUGCCUAGAAGAAUCAUUCUAUUUCUCUCAGACAAGUGAGUACACUCAACCGUCUGAAAGAGAGAGAGAACUUCUAAUGCAAAGUUCAUCAGUCUCCCUCUAGUUUUUUUAGAUUAUUAGUUCAAUAUGGCCGUCGUCUUAUCAAAUAAAUGUCAUAGUUUAUAAUGCGCCUACAGAUGGCGCCUCAAUAGAACCUAAAAAAUCCCAAUAAUACCCUCUCGCUUCCACUCACUAAGCCGAAGUGCUGGAGUGAGGAGGACAUAAUUCCUUGAAUGAAGAUUCUUCUAAUU
rnacentral:lncRNA from 1 species